AGCACAGGAGUGGUGCCAGAAGAGAGGUGAGCGCGUGUGGGAGUGGGGAGCGCGCACAGAACACCCGCCAGCAUCGCAGCAGGAGGGGUGUAAGCCACCGCUCCUGAGGCCUCUGGGCUCGUGUGGGGAGACGGCAAGAAUGUCCGAGGUCGGGCUCGAUGUCAGGGCGCUCACGGAGACGCAGGACGGCCGGUAAGGCGGGAGCGGCGGGUACAACGUCCGCGGGAACAGCAGGGAAAAAAUGUCAUAAACCCACCGAGUCCAGUGGGAGGAGAAAGAGAACAAACAGGCAAACAGAAAAUACCCUGUGUGUUCCUGGCGGGAGCCCAGAUGUACGGGAAUUGCAUGAAACGGCAAAGACUGUACGUGUCAGGGAGAGGAAGGACAUCAGAUCCGCAAAAACACAGCGUCCGGGCGGGGCAGGUGAAGGUGCAAGCCGGCGGCGCCCUGCGUGUGCCUCGCUCCUGCGAGUCUGCCCGUGGGACCCGUGUUUGUGUUUCUCAACGUCCCUCCAAACCGGUGAGGUCAAGGGACACCCCCCCCACCCCAGAAACUCGAACCCUCACGGUAACUCCCGUCAAUAACACACUCUCCGGAGAGGGGCAGACGCCAACUCGUCCGAGCAGCUUUGAACACGGUGUGUGCGCCCCCGGUAAAGACAGAGAACAGUGGACGCACGAUGGUUUCCGCUCUGUGGGCAUCUCGCGUGGUGGCUCAGGGUUGACAGUUGUACGGUCGGUCGGAUUAGUGUGCACGUCAGUGCUCCUGACGGGGAGGCCAGAGCGAGUCCUCCGCUGAGCUGGGGAGUUUGUGGUCCUCGUAGAUACGGGAUGGACGCGGUACGUGUCCGUGUGUCUGUCUGGCCCACGUGCUAGAGGGCCUCCACGCCGCGGCCCCAGGAGUACAGUGGCUGCUGAGUGCCGUUCUCCCUGAAAUGUGCCCGGGCCCCUCGGGGAGACGUCCGGGGCUGGGAGUGGGCACAACGGCCGAACCAUCACCCUGAGCCAGGAAGGAGGGGUCAGAGGACCGGCGGGCAGUCGAGGGGAGCCAGGAGCAGCUGGGGGGUGGGCGCUUGCGGCCGUAUGGGGUGUGAGUAUCAGCGGAGCAGUGUCUGUGCAAGUGACUGGGAUCCGAUUACGUUCGGGGGGUGACCAGAGCCCUCAAGGCGGAGCCCUAGGAGUGAAGGAGGGAGGGGCGUCCGGGAGGGAGCACUCCUCCCACAGCGGUCUGAUGCGGGACCUGUAGCCGUCUCAGAGUCCUGCGGCCGCGUGUCAUUCCUGGGGAGGAGUGGCCUGGCUCCCCACAGCACCCCGCAGCCAGGCAAAACGGCCGAUGCACUGAGGGGACACAGCGUCCCUUCCGUGGCCUUCGUUCCACAGGCACGUGACCUGCGUGACCGCAAAGAAACAUCAGACAAGCCCAGAUUGGGGCACAUUCCACAAAUGAAGGCCCUGCUCUUUCGGAAAAUGUCAAGGUCCGGAAAGACAGGCUGAGGGACGCCUGCAGACUCGCGGGGGAGCUGGAGAGGCGGCGGGCAGCGGCUGGCCUGGGCUGGGUCCUGCUCCAGAGCAGACGCUGUGUGGACACUUGGCGGACGUGAGCACGUGUCUUGUCCGCAGCCACCUUGGGGGUUCCUGUCUCAGAGGAGCUUCUCCGACCAGCUGGUAGACGAGGCUCUGGGUGCCGUGGCUGCGGAGCUGGAGGACGCGUGCGAGGACUACGCGGAAGCCGUGUUCACCUCGGAGUUCCUGGAGGCCGCGACCUGAAGGCGCUGCCUCCGCGGCGGACCUCCUCCCUGGGUCUUGAGCUCGGCUGGCCCUCUGUGCCUCUGGGGUGCUCCCCGUGGGGGAGGGGGCCCCUCUUUGCAUCUUCUCGUGGUCCUGGCGACGGCUCUGGUGGUUGAUGAUGGAGGGCGAGGUGUUUCUCUGUGCCCGGGACUUGUGAAUUAUGACAAUAUAAUAGUUUCCGUAACUAUUCCCACGGUUAUUACCGUAACGCAUAACUUUCCCACUGACAUCCUGUGUUCAUUCCGCUGCCGAGUCUGGUGACCCGAGCGUUUGGAAAGGUGCCGGCAGGUGUGUUUCUCUCGAGGGCCCACGUUGCUGCUGAACCGCCAAUGCCCUUGGUGCCCCGAGUUCGCUUCCACCUGUCCCGGCCACGCCACAGCAUGCAGAUGGAGCCCGCAAGCCCUCGGCGUGUGGCGCCCCUGCCGAUCUCGGCCUCUGGCAGCCCUCCGCAUCGCGGCCUGCAGCCUUUUCUUGCCCUGAUGGAUGUGUUCUGAUGUCCAAACCGUCGGCACAUGGGCGCCAUCGGAGGCCGACGGGAGAGUCCUGAGCUGGCAUCCUGUGUGCGGGGCCAGCACGUUCCACGCCUGCUGACCCACAAGGAGCCCGGGCGGGAGGAGAGGACCGGCCUGGGUGCAGGAAGCCCUCCGGUCCCCCGAGAGAGAAAAACACAUAAGAGCCACAGUAGCUCGGUCCUCUCGUCCCCUCCAAACUGUUUCACCGAGGAAAUUCUCUGAUUUUUCAGAGAAAGAAAAGAAAUGUGCAUAAAAAUAAGGCCACUUCCUGGAAAAAGUGUCCCUCCGUGCGGCCUGGGCUCGGAGGAGCCGUGAAGGGUGAGUGACGCCAGGCUCGCCUGUGGAUAAUGUGAAUCUUUGUGACGCGUGCGGUGUUGCGUCUGGACUUUUCUCUGCAGCGUGUGUCUGAGGUGAGCGCGUGAGCGGCUGGGUCGCGUGUGUCAGCGGACCUUCUCCUGCAGCCUUGGCAUCACGGAGGCUCUCGGGUUAAAGGUCUUCAUCGUGCCAGUGACGCGUGUGCCCAAGUCGACGGCGGCGUCCGUAGCGUGGAGUAGUUUGUGUGGCAGUUUGUACUGCGCUGACUUUUUAAAUAAACUCAGGAUUUUACAGUAU